rnacentral:lncRNA from 1 species
AAUCUUGGACUACUUGGUGAGUAGGCCAGCGACGGACUGUAUUUGGCAGACUGAGGAUUGUAGCUUGGGGAUGUAGGACUAUAGGUUGGUGAAGUUGGGCUAUAACUUGGUGAAGUUGGACUAUAACCAGGAGAAGUGGGGCUAUAGGCUGGUGAAGUGGGGCUGUACGAUGGAGAAGUAGGGCUGUAUGACGGUGAGGUAGGGCUGUACGAAGGUGAUGUUGGGCUGUAGGAAGGAGAGGUUGGGCUGUACGAUGGUGAGGUGGGGCUGUAUGCAGGUGAGGUGGGGCUAUAUGCAGGUGAGGUGGGGCUAUAUGCCGGUGAGGUGGGGCUAUAGCUUGGUGAAGUUGGACUGUAACUGGGAGAAGUGGGGCUGUAACUUGGAGAGGUCGGGCUGUAGCUUGGGGAUGUUGGGCUGUAACUUGGGGAGGUUGGGCUAUAGCUUGGUGAAGUAGGUGAGUACGAUGGACUGGUAGGAGAAUAGGCAGGACUGGUUGGACUAUAACCAG